UUCGGGCUCUGGCUCGCCGCCACCGCACGGUCCGCGGAACUCGCCCAGGAACAGCUCCAGGAAGCGCCGGCAGCCCACGCUGCCUAGAGACUGUCGCCAUGGCAACCGGUUCUAAUUAAGAAUUCCAAGGUCCCUCCCGUCGAGUCUGUGGAGUGGUGAGGAAACAAGCCUUCAAAACAGUGACUUUGCUCAAGGUCAAAAGCAAGCGAUGCAACAAGAAUUCAAUCCGAGAUUGAAGUGGUAGAUUUCACUUGCUUCAUGGUGAUGAUGUUGGUGGUGGGUGCUUUGAAGAUGCUGUGCUGUACAGCUGUAUGGAUGA
rnacentral:lncRNA from 1 species